rnacentral:lncRNA from 1 species
AGAUCUAAAAAAUAUGUCAUUGAAUUAAAUUAAUAUCAUCCUUACGUUACAAAGCAUCUUCUCUAAGGGUAAGAGUAAAUAAAGAAAAAUAAAAAUGUGCAAUCCAACCAACUAAAUGCAACUGAGAAGCUAAGGAAACAUUUAUAUGUCUUCAUUCUAAUUUAGAGCUAUGCCUAUAGUACCCCUUCAAAUUCUACUUACUCACCUGGCGAGAGGUCGAGUUCUGGUGGAUCAUACAUUAGCUGGAAAGCAUCACAGAGGUAAAAGUUCCAUGGCUUUACAUAAUUAUCUUUGUACUUUCUGCUGCAGAACCAUACAAUCGAAAUUUUUGGCUCAUAACUGGAAGUUAAGGGAACGUCCAGCAAAAAAUAUGGUAAAUAUGUUUGCACAUUUAAUUACUUGAUGGUUCCAUGUAGAGACCUACAUGUAGUCUCCGGACAAACAUCAUUGUCUACUUUUUGUCAGUUUCUGCUCUGCUUGACCACUUUUUUGCUUGUUU